GAUUUUAUAGUUAAAGUUAAUAACAUUAAAUUGCAAAUUAAAAAUUAUAAUUAUUUUAUUAAAAUUU
rnacentral:tRNA from 1 species